UGGGAUGUAGCUCAGUGGCACAGUGCUUGCCUAACAUGUGCCAGACCCUGGGUUUAAUUCCCAGUAUCACAA
rnacentral:tRNA from 1 species